rnacentral:lncRNA from 1 species
AGAUAUGCACCCCUAUGUUUAUCGCAGCAUUAUUUAUUAACAACCAAGACAUGAUAGCAACCUGUCCAUCAAUGGAUGAAUGGAUAAGAUGUGAUGUGUGUACAGACACAUAUACACACAAUGAAUUACUCAGCCAUAAAAAAGAAUGAAAUCUUGCCAUUUGCAACAACAGGGAUGGACCUAGAGGGUAUUAUAAGUGAAAUAAGUUAAAUAAGGACAAAUACCAUAUGAUUCCACUUAUAACAUGCAAUCCAAAAAAUAAAACAAAUGAAAGUGAGAAACGCUCAAACACAGAGCACUGGUGGUUGCCAGUAAGGGGAAGGGGGUGGGGAGGACGGGAGUAAGAGGUACAAACUUCCAGUUAUAAAAUAAGUGACGGGGAUGGAAAAUACAGCAUAGGAGAUAGUCAAUAAUAUUGCAAUAACACCAUGGUGAGAAUUUCAUAAUGUGUAGAAUUGGUUUGGGGGGGGAUUUUUUUGUUUUUUGUUUUUUGGAUUUUUAAAAAGAUUUUAUUUGAGAGAGAGAGAGAGAGCGUGUGCGCAUGAGCCAGGGGGAGAGGCAGAUGGAGAGGGAGAUGCAGCCUUCUCUGCUCAGCAGGGAGCCUGAUAUGGGGUUCAAUCCCAGGAUCCUGGGAUCAUGACCUGAGCCCAAGUCAGAUGCUUAACCCAGGUGCUCCAAUAAUGUGUAUAAUGGUUCAAUCACUAUGUUACAUGCCUGAAACUAAUUUAAUGUCUUCUAUACUUCCAUUAAAAAUAAAUUUAAACACAAAGAUUUAAAAAUACUAAAUAGGACCCCCUUCAAAUAUAUGAACCAAAAAAAAAAAAAAAGAGAGAGAGAGAGAGAAGUGAACAAAACUAUUGGAGGCACGUGGAAGGGGAGCAGAUGGGAAACAGACUAGAUGACGUACAAAAAGCAGAGAAGAAUCUGGGCCGGGCAGGUCCCCCAAGAGACCCGAGGAUCUGGUCCAAUAAUAGAGCUGGGGACCCAGGGGUGAAGGAGGCGACACAGGGAACCCAAGUGCCACUCCUCACCAGGCAGGAGCAGGGUAGGAGGUUGAACCCGGGCAGUAUGGAGCUGCAAGAGGCCUAGGUUCCAUCUGGGAGUCAGGAGAGGCUGGUGCUAGUCCUCCUUGCUGCCUGAUGGUGAGCAAGUCACUCCCUCCGGAUGGAAUCAAUCUCCCGGCCGCCCCCACUCCCCACCCCAUCCCUGCCACCCAAGGACAAGACACUCUCUGUGCCUCCUCCAGCUGAGCUCCCAACCAAUGGACAGUGCCAGAGCAGCACCUCUCACUUGUGGGGAUAAUGUGUGCUUCGCCACUUGUGGCUUCGCCAGCAAGAGAAGACAAAGGCGGGGCCUCCCUGCAUCGCCAGGAGCCUGAAUCCAUUGUGCAGGCAGGGGAGACCCCAGACAGGAACCUGGGCAUGAGGAGUCAAGAAACCUCCUGGGUUGCACUGCCUGGGAGUCAGAGCAAGGAGGCCACGCAAGGUGUGCAGCCUGCUGCGAGCACCUUCCGCUUCCUGUCCUCCUCCAACAAGGCGCUGGGCAGCCUCCCAGCUCCCUGCCCUCCAGGCCAUGGAGGGCUAGCUCUUGCCCUGCAGGCUCUUGUAGCCCUCAGGGUCUCCAGGGGCCUACCUUCUCCAGUGACACUUUUCACAAGACACCCCUCUGGAAAGGUGCUUUGGGACCCACAUCUUACAGAACCUGAGGUGGAUGUUGCAAGAUGGUCAAGGCCAGGCCAGAGCCCAGUUCUGGAGCUCCAGGUCCAUGGGGCUUUCCACCAGGAUGGCAUCUUUCCUCAGGGCCAGAGCAUCUGUCUGCCCCCAGUGCCACACACACACAGCAAACAUACACAAUACGCAGUGACGGCGAGCACUGCUGCCUUGACUCCAGGUCAGUAGGUAGGAGGCACUCCCUGCCUGGGAGAUUGGAGUGCCUGCACGCAUUUCAGUGGGUGUAAGGAACACGGAUACACGGGCCUCCUGCCUCUCUGGGUGGGUCUCUGCCCUGCCCUGGCUGGAUUCUUCUGGCCUGGGAUAAAUGCAUCCUACACAGCCUGCAGCUUGAGUUUCCCUUGGGUCCCUAUUUACAUACCCAGCCUCCCACGCAGCCGGCAGAGGCGAGGAGGCCAAUCAGCUCUAGGGAGGUGAGGUAUCUGAGGCCCUUCCAGGGGAAGGGGCAGCAGGUCAUAGGGCGUGGGGGGCAAAUCCCUGGGAGCUGGGAACCAAGCCUCACUGUGGUGUUAACCCUGCGGCCCUGAAUGACAAAACACCUUGCCUCUCAAGGCAAAGAGGUGCUCGUGCUGGAUGCUCUGUUUUUCCACCAGGCCCGUCCUGAUUUUUCACCCAGCUCUGCACUCAGAAGCCAACCUCCCCAUGUGCAUCCGCCGCCAGGCUCCCCGGCCCUCUGGUUCUCAGGCAGCUUGGCCAACAGGGGGAGCUGACAGGAGACUGGGAAGUGGUCAGAGCAAGGGGCCAGGAUAAUUACUCCGCCAGUGUCCUUGCUGCCGUGGGGCAGGCUGGGAGGCACUGCCUUCCUCCUCCGGAGGCUUCUGUGCCUGUGGGGUGGCCCCUCUGUCAGCCUCAGCUCCCACGGCUGCUGCUACCCGCUUCAUCCCUGCCCCCACGCAGGGCCAGUAUCUGCGCUCCACCACCCUUGAAGGCUUCCCUGAGGCCCGCAGCAGCUCGGUAGUUUCUGCGCUGACCCCACUUCCAUGACCUCUUUUCUGGGAAGCCAUCAGCCUCCCACCAGGAGCUGGAUGGACCCAGCACUUGAUAAACAUUUCCUCAUUAAAUCCUGUCAGGUGCCAAUUUGGGGUCCUGUGAUAUCCUGCGACACAGGAUGGCUCCCGCCACGUACCAGAACGGUUGUGCCCUUCUCUCCAGAGGCCCAGCAAGUCAGAGGAGGAGAAACUCAACCUAGAAUCCAGAUCUUUGGCCUUCCUGGCUUGAGCUUUUGGGGAAGAGAUGAAUUGCGAGUGCUGAAGUUUUAUAGUAGGUGCUUAGUGGGGAAGUCAGGUCCAAGGGUUUCUACAGCAUUAGCAAACACCCAGCCCUGGCGCAGCCCGUGGGCACCGGUCACAGGGCUGUGCCCCUGCCAGUUUAGGGGCAAAAAGGCCUCAGGACCUUUACUCCCUGGCUUUGCCCUCCCAACACCUUGGUAAUCGAUGGUCUGUUUGAGACACCCUGGUUUAUUUUCUGGACUAGUCCACUCACUGUUACAGGAUUAACUACCUCCUUAGACAUACCUCACGUCUAAACCAGAGAUCAGAGCAGAGACAAGACAUGGCAAGGAUCCCCCCUGAGCUCCAGCACCACUGAAAAUCACCAUUGUGAUUUUCUAAAGAGCUCCAGACACAGAAAUACCCAUAGCAGCCUCUGAUAAAAUUCCACACUGUGACCAGAAGAUGGCAGUACGCCACCACCCACCCCAAGUUCCAAGCUUUCCCCAGGGGUCCAGGCACGCACUCCUAGACCUGCCGCCACUGGGCCAGCCCACAGAUCAUUCUGCUUCAAGUGCACGUAUCAGCCAGGUAAUCCAAGCACUUAAAAGUAAAACCCCCAGGAACGUCUGGGUGGUUCAGUCGAUUAAGCAGCUGCCUUUGGCUCAGGUCAUGAUCUCAGCGUCCUGGGAUUAACCCCCCCCCC